AAUUGUGGCUUCUGUUUCGCAGA
rnacentral:piRNA from 1 species